CUGGAAAAGACAGUGAUGCUUUCCAAGCACAUAUCUGAAAUGUAUAUGUGGACAAUAUAAAACUGAGUCUUUUCUGA